rnacentral:rRNA from 1 species
UACGGAGGGUGCAAGCGUUGCUCGGAAUUAUUGGGCGUAAAGGGCAAGUAGGUGGUCUCAUUUGUCUGGGGUGAAAGCCUUGAGCUUAACUCAAGAAGUGCCCCGGAAACGGUGAGACUCGAGUACUAGAGAGGGUCGUGGAAUUCCCGGUGUAGCGGUGAAAUGCGUAGAGAUCGGGAGGAACACCUGAGGCGAAGGCGGCGACCUGGACAGUUACUGACACUCAACUGCGAAAGCGUGGGGAGCAAACAGG